rnacentral:rRNA from 1 species
CCUACGGGAGGCAGCAGUGGGGAAUAUUGGGCAAUGGGCACAAGCCUGACCCAGCAACGCCGCGUGAAGGAAGAAGGCUUUCGGGUUGUAAACUUCUUUUCUCAGGGACGAAGAAAGUGACGGUAACUGAGGAAUAAGCCAUGGCUAACUACGGGCCAGCAGCCGCGGGAAUACGGAGGUGGCAAGCGUUAUCCGGAUUUACUGGGUGUAAAGGGCGUGUAGGCGGGACUGCAAGUCAGAUGGGAAAACCACGGGCUCAACCUGUGGCCUGCAUUUGAAACUGUAGUUCUUGAGUACUGGAGAGGCAGACGGAAUUCCUGGUGUAGCGGUGAAAUGCGUAGAUAUUAGGAGGAACACCAGUGGUGAAGGCGGUCUGCUGGACAGCAACUGACGCUGAGGCGCGAAAGCGUGGGGAGCAAACAGGAUUAGAUACCCCAGUAGUC